rnacentral:rRNA from 1 species
UACGAAGGGGGCUAGCGUUGCUCGGAAUCACUGGGCGUAAAGCGCACGUAGGCGGGUUCUUAAGUCAGGGGUGAAAUCCCAGAGCUCAACUCUGGAACUGCCUUUGAUACUGGGAAUCUUGAGUCCGGGAGAGGUGAGUGGAACUCCGAGUGUAGAGGUGAAAUUCGUAGAUAUUCGGAAGAACACCAGUGGCGAAGGCGGCUCACUGGCCCGGUACUGACGCUGAGGUGCGAAAGCGUGGGGAGCAAACAGG